UACGGAGGGGGCUAGCGUUGUUCGGAAUUACUGGGCGUAAAGCGCACGUAGGCGGACUCUUAAGUCGGGGGUGAAAGCCCAGGGCUCAACCCUGGAACUGCCUUCGAUACUGGGAGUCUUGAGUGUGGAAGAGGUUGGUGGAACUGCGAGUGUAGAGGUGAAAUUCGUAGAUAUUCGCAAGAACACCAGUGGCGAAGGCGGCCAACUGGUCCACUACUGACGCUGAGGUGCGAAAGCGUGGGGAGCAAACAGG
rnacentral:rRNA from 1 species